GCCUAGCCGUAAACUUUUAUUUACAUUCAAAUCGCCAGGGAACUACGAGCCAAGCUUAAAACCCAAAGGACUUGACGGUACCCCAUAUCCUCCUAGAGGAGCCUGUCCUAUAAUCGAUAAUCCACGUUUAACCUCACCAUUUCUAGUCUAUCAGCCUGUAUACCUCCGUCGCCAGCUUACCACGUGAGCGUUAAUUAGUGAGCUUAAUGUUUUUCACCAAUACGUCAGGUCAAGGUGCAGCAAAUGAAGUGGGAAGAGAUGGGCUACACUUUCUAUAUUAGAAAAGACGAAAAACUACCUAUGAAACCUAGUUGGAAGGCGGAUUUAGCAGUAAAAUGGAAUCAACAUGUCCAUUUUAACCCGGCACUGGGGUGUGU
rnacentral:rRNA from 1 species